rnacentral:rRNA from 1 species
UGCAGUCGACGAGCCUUCGGGUUAGUGGCGGACGGGUGAGUAACGCGUGAUAAAUGCCCUCAGGAGGGGGAUAACAGUUGGAAACGACUGCUAAUACCCCAUAUGCCGAGAGGUGAAACGAAUUUUGCCUGGGGAUGAGCUCGCGUCUGAUUAGCUUGUUGGUGGGGUAAAAGCCUACCAAGGCUUCGAUCAGUAGCUGGUCUGAGAGGACGAUCAGCCACACUGGGACUGAGAUACGGCCCAGACUCCUACGGGAGGCAGCAGUGGGGAAUUUUCCGCAAUGGGCGCAAGCCUGACGGAGCAACGCCGCGUGAGGGAUGAAGGCCUUUGGGCUGUAAACCUCUUUUCUCAAGGAAGAAGAUCUGACGGUACUUGAGGAAUAAGCCACGGCUAAUUCCGUGCCAGCAGCCGCGGUAAUACGGGAGUGGCAAGCGUUAUCCGGAAUUAUUGGGCGUAAAGCGUCCGCAGGCGGCCGUUUAAGUCUGUUGUUAAAUCGUGGAGCUCAACUCCAUCACGGCAAUGGAAACUGUUCGGCUUGAGUAUGGUAGGGGCAGAGGGAAUUUCCGGUGUAGCGGUGAAAUGCGUAGAUAUCGGGAAGAACACCAGUGGCAAAAGCGCUCUGCUGGGCCAUUACUGACGCUCAUGGACGAAAGCCAGGGGAGCGAAAGGGAUUAGAUACCCCUGUAGUCCUGGCCGUAAACGAUGAACACUAGAUGUUGGGGGAAUCGACCCCUCCGGUGUCGUAGCUAACGCGUUAAGUGUUCCGGCCUGGGGAGUACGCACGCAAGUGUGAAACUCAAAGGAAUUGACGGGGGCCC